UGGGGAAUAUUGCGCAAUGGGGGAAACCCUGACGCAGCAACGCCGCGUGGGUGAUGAAGGCCUUCGGGUCGUAAAGCCCUGUCAGCAGGGAAGAAACUCCGGGAUUCGAAUAGGGUCUCGGAUUGACGGUACCUGCGGAGGAAGCACCGGCUAACUCCGUGCCAGCAGCCGCGGUAAAACGGAGGGUGCAAGCGUUGUUCGGAAUUACUGGGCAUAAAGCGCGCGUAGGUGGUCGAGUAAGUCGAAUGUGAAAGCCCCGGGCUCAACCCGGGAAGUGCAUCCGAAACUGCUCGACUAGAGUCCCGGAGAGGAAGGCAGAAUUCCCAAUGUAGGGGUGAAAUCCGUAGAUAUUGGGAGGAAUACCGGUGGCGAAGGCGGCCUUCUGGACGGUGACUGACACUCAGACGCGAAAGCGUGGGGAGCAAACAGGAUUAGAUACCCAAGUAGUCCCUGAGCGGGCUGGCAAGGCGCAU
rnacentral:rRNA from 1 species